GCUUCGCUUGGAUGUCAAAUGAUAACUUGACGAAAGUGAGUUUCGUCAAGUGAGAAUGAGCACGGUAGGAAAUGAUGAGUAGCGGGUGAGUUGCCACUCGCGUGAGUGGCAAUCAUAGAAAAAUUAUAAAUAGGGCAACAUAAUGAAUACACUUUCUCUUGCACUUUGGAAAUUCAACACACAGCGGUAAAUAUUCAGCCCACGCAAAAUCAUCCGAAACAUACGCGAUUGUUCAUGGUGCCGUGACCAGGAUUGUGCGAAUAUCUGGUUUUUAAAUCGCAAGUUUCGAUAAUUGCAUCGGGGUUUCGUUUUACCGCUUGUGCCACACACUUUUUGGAUUGCCGCAAACUUACAGCUGAUUUUGCCGCAUCACGCAAGUCACUGUAAUCGCAAACACCCACAUCCACUAACAUAAUGGCCACACCGCCCGUUGUUUUGGCGUCCCGGCGGACUGUUUUAUUGGGAAUUCUCUCGCGAUACGAGAAAUUCAUUAAGGAUUUCGUCCCUGAACGGGAUCAAGUAGAGGUGGAAAUACGCGUUAAAAGGUUCGAUAAGCUGUGUGCGGAUUUGGAAGCUGUGCAGCAACAAUUGGAAGAUUCUGCCGACACUCCGGAAGAAGUGUCGCAAAAUGCUACACUCAGAGAAAGUUUUGAGGAUAGAUUAAUUCUUGUGCAAUCCCAGCUGCAAGCAAGGUUACCAAAAGAGCAGUUUCAAAAUGCCCAAUCGAGUACCGGAGCGAAUCCGUUAAAGGGCAUCAAACUUCCUACCAUUGCGCUGCCUGAAUUCACGGGGGACUAUAUGCAAUGGUUGACAUUCCGCGAUACGUUUGAGUGCUUAAUUCAUAAUAAUAUGGAUUUACCGGCCAUUCAAAAAUUUCACUAUUUGCGCGCCGCGGUUAAAGGAGAAGCUGCUCAAGUGAUAGAAUCAAUCACCAUAAGCGCAGCUAAUUAUGAUUUAGCAUGGAACACUCUAACGGAGCGAUACUCGAAUGAAUACCUCCUGAAAAAACGCCAUUUGCAAGCAAUGUUUGCCAUCCCAGCUGUACAGAAGGAAAGCGUUGCAACAUUGCACCACCUUGUAGAUGAAUUUGAGAGACACACAAAGAUUUUGCAACACUUAGGAGAAGAAACAAAUACAUGGGGUAGCAUUCUCGAGCAUUUGCUAUGCACUAAACUUCCGAUAAUUACUUUACGCGAUUGGGAGGAGCAAGCCUCAAGCAAUAACGAUCCCAGUUACGACAGUUUGAUUUCGUUCUUGCACCGUCGUAUGCGUGUAUUGGAGACGUUGCUUGUCAACAACUGUCAUACGUCUCAGGGUAACGACCUAGCUCCCGUACGGAGAAUGACCGUUCUUCGCCAAGCCAGUUUUGCUUCCACAUCGCAUGAAAUGCCGAAUUGCAUGCUAUGCAACUCCGCGCACAACCUUCUGAAAUGUCCGCGUUUCGAGCGGAUGGACCCGAAGGAACGCCAUCGGUUUGCUAUGACCUCGCGUUUGUGCUUAAAUUGUUUACGCGAUAAUCAUAUGGCUCGAGAUUGUCCAUCACAGUACAAAUGCCGUUACUGUAAUGCCGCACACCACACAAAAUUGCACUACGCACAUAACAGCCAAGCUUCCACUACACCACAGCAUCACGCUCACCAUAACCCAAAUUUCACUGCACCUCAGCAACACACACACAACACCACUAGCGAUCACACAGCCACAAACAAUACACAACGCACAUUUGCAGCAGCAUUGCAGCAUGCACCCGAACAAGUCAUACUGCAAACUGCUAUGAUAAAUAUCAUAGACGAUUUCGGAAUAGCACAUCCUGCGCGGGCGCUGUUGGACAGCGCAUCGCAACCGAAUCUAAUAAGCGAUCGACUCGCUCAUCGCUUACGGCUGAAGAAAAGUAAUGUGAACAUUACCGUCAUUGGAGCAGGACAAGCUACAAAGACAGUACGGGAGUCCGUACAGGCACAGAUUGUCUCUCGAUCCAGUUCGUUCACUGUGAACACUGAGUUGUUGAUUGUUGACAAUUUGAUUGCAAAUCUACCAACGCGCGACAUAGACAUCAGCGAUUGGAAGAUACCACCUGGUUUCGCUUUAGCAGACCCUCUGUUCAACAAAGCUGCUCCUGUAGACCUCAUUCUUGGUGCUCGUCAUUACCACACUUUCUUUGAGAAUGCAACUCAGUUCCGUCCUGCACCUCAUCAGCCCGUGAUGAUAGACAGCGUUUUCGGCUGGGUAAUGACUGGUCCAACUGGCAGUGACAAUUCUUCACCUAAAACCGAUCCCACCGCAUCAUAUACAAUCGUCUGUAUGGCAUCCUUGGAGGAUUCGUUACAAAGAUUUUGGCAAUUAGAAAAUUUAACCAUGAAUGAUGGAUACUCACCAGACGAACGACAUUGUGAAUCGUUCUAUAAGCAUACCACCAAACGUGACGAUAGUGGUAGAUAUAUUGUUCGCCUACCGAAACAGCCCGACUUUGAUGCAAAGCUCGGCCUUUCUAGACCUCAGGCCAUUCGUCGUUUUGAGCUUCUCGAGCGGAGAUUGGAACGAGAUCCAGCACUUCGAGAAGCGUACCAAGACUUUAUGAAGGAGUACUUAGCACUGGGUCACAUGUCUCCUAUAAGCACUGAUUGUGAUGAUACAGCUGCUUAUUAUUUACCACACCAUCCAGUUUUUAAAGCGUCAAGUACCACCACAAAGGUCAGAGUAGUUUUUGAUGGCUCGGCUAAAACGUCAACUGGCUUUUCGCUGAAUGAAACUCUGCGGGUUGGACCCAUAGUUCAGGAUGAACUCAUCGAUAUUAUUUUGCGUUUCCGCACCUAUAAGAUUGCUGUCGUAGCUGAUAUCGCCAAAAUGUAUCGACAAAUUGUGCUGCAUCCGGAUGAUCGACGAUUGGUUCGCAUUUUCUUCCGUUUCUCACCGCAAUCGCCGAUUGAAUUGUACGAGCUGAAUACUGUGACAUAUGGUUUGUCUCCAUCAUCGUUCUUGGCCACUCGUACAUUGCUGCAGCUUGCGGAAGAUGAAGGUGCUGACUUUCCACUAGCUUCACCCGCACUGAGACACAAUUUUUAUGUAGACGACUUCAUUGGCGGAGCUAACAGCGUGAGUGAAGCUCGCGAGCUUCGUCAGCAACUUUCCGAGUUACUCUCCAAGGGCGGGUUUGAACUCCGGAAGUGGACAUCCAACUGUUUAGGCGUACUAAGUGGUUUACCAGCAGAGCAUAUCGGUACACAGUCAUCACUGCAGUUUGUGCCGAACGAGACUGUGAAGGCACUUGGUAUCGCAUGGAAGCCCGAACUAGAUGUUUUGUGCUUUGAGUCGACUGCAAUAAUGGAAACCGCCAACCUCACCAUGCGAUCCAUAUUGUCAAACAUUGCUCGAAUGUUUGAUCCACUUGGAUUGAUCGCUCCAGUCAUCAUACGCGCGAAAUUGCUAAUGCAGGAGUUGUGGCUGCAGAAAAUCGGAUGGGACGAUCCGGUCCCUGUACACAUCUGUAACAAAUGGAAAUCGGUUACUGACGACUGGAAGGAUUUGGAAAGCUUCAAAAGCGAACGGUAUGUGCUCUUACCUAACUCUAAAAUACAGUUCCAUACAUUUGCAGACGCGUCAGAAGUUGCUUAUGGUGCCUGCAUUUAUGCGCGCUGUGAGGACCAGCAGGGACGAGUACGAGUCAGCCUGCUCGCGUCGAAAUCGCGUGUAGCUCCACUAAAACGAGUUACAUUACCAAGAUUGGAGCUCUGCGCGGCCGUGUUAGGAGCACAUCUUCAUCAUCGUGUUAGACGCGCUAUGGGAAUCGACACAACCGAAUCGUUUUUCUGGUCGGAUUCGACGGUAACGCUAAACUGGAUAGCGUCUCCACCCAACACCUGGAAAACAUUCGUGGCGAAUCGUGUUGCUGAGAUCCAGAACUAUUCGCACCCUCGUCAAUGGAAACACAUUCCCGGUUCAUCGAAUCCCGCCGAUCUGGUGUCUCGAGGGAUGUCAGCAGCUGAAAUGCUAAAAGGAUCGAUUUGGAGCUGUGGUCCUGAAUGGUUGGCGCUAUCCCCCUCCAAAUGGCCAAUGUCAAAUCCAUCACUGACUGCUGAAACGGAUAUGGAAAUUCGUCAGGUGAGUGCUGUAGUUGCAAGUAUACAAACCACUCACCAUUGGUUCAAUUUGUCGUCGUCCUACACCAAAUUGGUACAUAUAAUUGCAUACUGCACACGUUUCAUACACAACACAAAACACAAGACACGUACACUACAGUCAUCACAAGUUACCUCAGCAGCAUUACCGAUCACCCCUGAGGCUAUAGAAGCAGCUAAAAUCGUGCUUUGUAAACUGGCACAAGAGCACGAGUUUUCAUCAGAGAUCCAACUGCUGAAAAAGGGAGAAAUGGUACGAAAACAAUCACCUCUACGGCGAUUGAAUCCGUUUCUCGACAACGAUGGAAUAUUACGAGUAGGAGGCCGCUUGAAACUUGCACAGCUACCGUACCAGUUCAAGCAUCCCAUCCUGCUUCCCAAAAACCAUCAGCUGGCUCAUCUCAUCGCGGUGCACAUACAUGAGAAGCUGAUGCAUGGCGGGGGAAGACUACUACUUUCCCGGAUACGUGAGGAAUAUUGGCCACUCGAUGGACGUCGGCUAGUAAAAAACGUAGUGAGGAAUUGCUUUCGUUGCAUUCGUCAGGAUCCGCAGCUGACACAACAACAAACUGGUCAACUCCCGUAUGAACGCAUCACCCCGAGCCGGCCGUUUUCCAUAACUGGAGUGGAUUAUGCCGGCCCGCUGUAUCUGAAACCCGCACACAAGAGAGCCGCUGCCGCUAAAUGCUACUUGUGUGUGUUUGUGUGUUUUUCAACGAAGGCAGUGCAUUUGGAGCUGGUGGGCGAUCUCUCCACGGCAGGCUUCUUGGCCGCAUUACAUCGCUUCACAUCCCGGCGAGGAUUACCAUCGGACAUAUACUCCGAUAACGGAAAAAACUUUGAAGGUGCGGCACACGAACUUAAUGAAUUGUUUGAUAUGUUACAGAACGAACAGCACCAAAACGUCAUCGCAUCCAACUGUUCGGACAGGGGCAUAACUUGGCACUUUACCCCACCUAAGGCCCCACAUUUUGGUGGAUUGUGGGAAGCAGCGGUUAAGACGGCCAAACGACAUCUCUACAGGCAGCUAGGCAGUUCGAGGCUGUCUUACGAGGGAUACAGCACCAUUCUGCAGCAAAUAGAAGCGGCAAUGAACUCGCGUCCUUUGUUGCCAAUGACGGAUGACCCCAAUGAUUUGGCAGCGCUUACGCCGGCGCACUUCCUGAUCGGUUCUUCUAUGCAUGCUGUCCCGGUUCCCGACUACACACGACUGAAACCAUACACGUUAGACGAAUUGCAGAGCUGGCAAUUGCUUGUGCAACGCUUUUGGAAGCAUUGGACAACCGAAUAUCUGCAGGAAAUGCAGAAGGAUAAUAAGGUAGUGAAUCGUAGCGAAAUAGUACCUGGCAGACUGGUCAUCCUUGCGGACGAUUCGCUCCCUAUCACCCGAUGGCCACUUGCUCGCAUCAUCGAUGUACACCCAGGAGAAGAUCAGCUUACGCGUGUAGUGAAGUUGAAAACGGCAAAAGGAAUAGUUACGCGUCCAGUAGCUAAAAUUUGCUUGUUGCCUGUUGCGAAGCCUUCCGAUUAGCAGCACGUGUAGUUUGUUUUUGUUCAUGACAUUCUGUCAUGGGGGGGAGUAUGUUGACGCUUCGCUUGGAUGUCAAAUGAUAACUUGACGAAAGUGAGUUUCGUCAAGUGAGAAUGAGCACGGUAGGAAAUGAUGAGUAGCGGGUGAGUUGCCACUCGCGUGAGUGGCAAUCAUAGAAAAAUUAUAAAUAGGGCAACAUAAUGAAUACACUUUCUCUUGCACUUUGGAAAUUCAACACACAGCGGUAAAUAUUCAGCCCACGCAAAAUCAUCCGAAACAUACGCGAUUGUUCAGAUCAACACAGUUUGUGAAGCAACUACGUUACUAGCA